rnacentral:rRNA from 1 species
GAUGAACGCUGGCGGCGUGCUUAACACAUGCAAGUCGAACGAAGCGCUUAAGCUGAUUUCUUUGGAUUGAUUCUUGAGUGACUGAGUGGCGGACGGGUGAGUAACGCGUGGGUAACCUGCCUCAUACAGGGGGAUAACAGUCAGAAAUGGCUGCUAAUACCGCAUAAGCGCACAGUACCGCAUGGUACAGUGUGAAAAACUCCGGUGGUAUGAGAUGGAUCCGCGUCUGAUUAGCUAGUUGGUAAGGUAACGGCUUACCAAGGCAACGAUCAGUAGCCGACCUGAGAGGGUGACCGGCCACAUUGGGACUGAGACACGGCCCAA